rnacentral:rRNA from 1 species
UGGGGAAUAUUGCACAAUGGGCGAAAGCCUGAUGCAGCAACGCCGCGUGAGUGAUGAAGGUCUUCGGAUUGUAAAGCUCUGUCUUUUGGGACGAUAAUGACGGUACCAAAGGAGGAAGCCACGGCUAACUACGUGCCAGCAGCCGCGGUAAUACGUAGGUGGCGAGCGUUGUCCGGAUUUACUGGGCGUAAAGGGUGCGUAGGCGGAUGUUUAAGUGAGAUGUGAAAUACCCGGGCUUAACUUGGGUGCUGCAUUUCAAACUGGAUAUCUAGAGUGCAGGAGAGGAGAAUGGAAUUCCUAGUGUAGCGGUGAAAUGCGUAGAGAUUAGGAAGAACACCAGUGGCGAAGGCGAUUCUCUGGACUGUAACUGACGCUGAGGCACGAAAGCGUGGGUAGCAAACAGGAUUAGAUACCCUGGUAGUCCACGCCGUAAACGAUGAGUACUAGGUGUAGGAGGUAUCGACCCCUUCUGUGCCGCAGUAAACACAUUAAAGUACUCCGCCUGGGAAGUACGAUC